AGUGAACGCUGGCGGUAGGCCUAACACAUGCAAGUCGAACGGCAGCACAGUAAGAGCUUGCUCUUACGGGUGGCGAGUGGCGGACGGGUGAGGAAUACAUCGGAAUCUACUUUUUCGUGGGGGAUAACGUAGGGAAACUUACGCUAAUACCUCAUACGACCUACGGGUGAAAGCAGGGGAUCUUCGGACCUUGCGCGAUUGAAUGAGCCGAUGUCGGAUUAGCUAGUUGGCGGGGUAAAGGCCCACCAAGGCGACGAUCCGUAGCUGGUCUGAGAGGAUGAUCAGACACACUGGAACUGAGACACGGUCCAGACUCCUACGGGAGGCAGCAGUGGGGAAUAUUGGACAAUGGGCGCAAGCCUGAUCCAGCCAUACCGCGUGGGUGAAGAAGGCCUUCGGGUUGUAAAGCCCUUUUGUUGGGAAAGAAAAGCAGCAGGUUAAUAACCCGCUGUUCUGACGGUACCCAAAGAAUAAGCACCGGCUAACUUCGUG
rnacentral:rRNA from 1 species